rnacentral:rRNA from 1 species
CCAAGAAAAGCUCGAACUACUGUAAAGCAUUAAGUACCUGUACCGUAAACCGACACAGGUGGGUUGGUAGAGUAUACCAAGGGGCGCGAGAUAACUCUCUCUAAGGAACUCGGCAAAAUGACCCCGUAACUUCGGGAGAAGGGGUGCCAAGUAACUUAAAUUGCUUGGUCGCAGUGACCAGGCCCUGGCGACUGUUUAUCAAAAACACAGGUCUCCGCAAAGUCGUAAGACAACAUAUGGGGGCUGACGCCUGCCCAGUGCCGGAAGGUUAAAGAAGUUGGUUAUUCAUUUUUGGAGAAGCUGACGACUGAAGCCCCGGUGAACGGCGGCCGUAACUAUAACGGUCCUAAGGUAGCGAAAUUCCUUGUCGGGUAAGUUCCGACCCGCACGAAAGGCGUAACGAUCAGGGCACUGUCUCGGAGAGAGACUCGGUGAAAUAGACAUGUCUGUGAAGAUGCGGACUACCUGCACCUGGACAGAAAGACCCUAUGAAGCUUGACUGUAGCUUGGAAUUGGGUUCGGGCUCUUCUUGCGCAGCCUAGGUGGGAGGCGUUGAAAGCUUUCUUUUGGGAAAGCUGGAGCCAUCAGUGAGAGACCACUCUGGAGGAGCUAGAAUUCUAAUGGCGUUCCUUGAAGCAGGACGCUUGACAGUUUCAGGUGGGCAGUUUGACUGGGGCGGUCACCUCCUAAAAGGUAACGGAGGUGUGCAAAGGUUCCCUCAGGCUGGACGGAAAUCAGCCGUAGAGUGUAAAGGCAGAAGGGAGCUUGACUGCAAGACCUACAAGUCGAGCAGGGGCGAAAGCCGGCCUUAGUGAUCCGACGGUUCCAUGUGGAAGGGCCGUCGCUCAACGGAUAAAAGUUACUCUAGGAUAACAGGCUGAUCUUCCCCAAGAGUUCACAUCGACGGGAAGGUUUGGCACCUUGAUGUCGGCUCAUCGCAACCUGGGGCGGUAGUACGUCCCAAGGGUUGGGCUGUUCGCCCAUGAAAGCGGUACGUGAGCUGGGUUCAGAACGUCGUGAGACAGUUCGGUCCAUAUCCGGUGUAGGCGCUAGAGCAUUGAGAGGAGCCUUCCAUAGUACGAGAGGACCUGGAAGGACUCACCUCUGGUAUACCAGUUAUCAUGCCAAUGGUACACGCUGGGUAGCCAUGUGCGGAGUGGAUAACCGCUGAAAGCAUCUAAGUGGGAAGCCCACCUCAAGAUGAGUGCUCUCCAUUAGGUCACAGGAAGACAACCUGUUUGAUAGGCAGAAGGUGUAAGGCCAGUAAUGGUUUCAGCUGAUCUGUACUAAUAGACC